rnacentral:rRNA from 1 species
CAAUGGUCGGUACAGAGGGUUGCCAAGCCGCGAGGUGGAGCCAAUCCCAGAAAGCCGAUCGUAGUCCGGAUUGUUCUCUGCAACUCGAGAGCAUGAAGUCGGAAUCGCUAGUAAUCGCGGAUCAGCAUGUCGCGGUGAAUACGUUCCCGGGUCUUGUACACACCGCCCGUCACACCAUGGGAGUGGAAUCUGCCAGAAGUAGGUAGCCUAACCGCAAGGAGGGCGCUUACCACGGUGGGUUUCAUGACUGGGGUGAAGUCGUAACAAGGUAGCCGUAGGGGAACCUGCGGCUGGAUCACCUCCUUU